GUUUGAUCCUGGCUCAGGACGAACGCUGGCGGCGUGCUUAACACAUGCAAGUCGAACGGAAAGGCCCUGCUUUUGUGGGGUGCUCGAGUGGCGAACGGGUGAGUAACACGUGAGUAACCUGCCCUUGACUUUGGGAUAACUUCAGGAAACUGGGGCUAAUACCGGAUAGGAGCUCCUGCUGCAUGGUGGGGGUUGGAAAGUUUCGGCGGUUGGGGAUGGACUCGCGGCUUAUCAGCUUGUUGGUGGGGUAGUGGCUUACCAAGGCUUUGACGGGUAGCCGGCCUGAGAGGGUGACCGGCCACAUUGGGACUGAGAUACGGCCCAGACUCCUACGGGAGGCAGCAGUGGGAAUAUUGCACAAUGGGCGGAAGCCUGAUGCAGCAACGCCGCGUGCGGGAUGACGGCCUUCGGGUUGUAAACCGCUUUCGCCUGUGACGAAGCGUGAGUGACGGUAAUGGGUAAAGAAGCACCGGCUAACUACGUGCCAGCAGCCGCGGUGAUACGUAGGGUGCGAGCGUUGUCCGGAUUUAUUGGGCGUAAAGGGCUCGUAGGUGGUUGAUCGCGUCGGAAGUGUAAUCUUGGGGCUUAACCCUGAGCGUGCUUUCGAUACGGGUUGACUUGAGGAAGGUAGGGGAGAAUGGAAUUCCUGGUGGAGCGGUGGAAUGCGCAGAUAUCAGGAGGAACACCAGUGGCGAAGGCGGUUCUCUGGGCCUUUCCUGACGCUGAGGAGCGAAAGCGUGGGGAGCGAACAGGCUUAGAUACCCUGGUAGUCCACGCUGUAAACGGUGGGUACUAGGUGUGGGGUCCAUUCCACGGGUUCCGUGCCGUAGCUAACGCUUUAAGUACCCCGCCUGGGGAGUACGGCCGCAAGGCUAAAACUCAAAGGAAUUGACGGGGCCCCGCACAAGCGGCGGAGCAUGCGGAUUAAUUCGAUGCAACGCGUAGAACCUUACCUGGGUUUGACAUGGAUCGGGAGUGCUCAGAGAUGGGUGUGCCUCUUUUGGGGUCGGUUCACAGGUGGUGCAUGGCUGUCGUCAGCUCGUGUCGUGAGAUGUUGGGUUAAGUCCC
rnacentral:rRNA from 1 species